AACGAACGCUGGCGGCAUGCCUAACACAUGCAAGUCGAACGGAUGCAGCAAUGCAUCAGUGGCAGACGGGUGAGUAACACGUGGGAAUCUACCCAGUAGCCUGGAAUAACCGCGGGAAACUGCGGCUAAUACCGGAUACGCCCCUCGGGGGAAAGGAGCAAUCCACUAUUGGAGGAGCCCGCGUCCGAUUAGCUAGUUGGUGAGGUAACGGCUCACCAAGGCGAUGAUCGGUGGCUGGUUUGAGAGAACGACCAGCCACACUGGGACUGAGACACGGCCCAGACUCCUACGGGAGGCAGCAGUGGGGAAUAUUGGACAAUGGGGGAAACCCUGAUCCAGCAAUGCCGCGUGGGUGAUGAAGGCCUUCGGGUUGUAAAGCCCUUUUGGCGGGGACGAUGAUGACGGUACCCGCAGAAGAAGCCCCGGCUAACUUCGUGCCAGCCGCCGCAGUAA
rnacentral:rRNA from 1 species